ACGUGUCGAGAGCGCGCCUCCGUGGUGGGCGGAGCUGGGAACAGGAAUGUACCUAAUGUUACUCUCCGCGGACUGCACAGGUACAGACAUGGGUCGCCAUUAACAUUGUAUCACUAACAAACGGACCAGGGCUUCAGGGUGUUGCUGAUGUGGCUGCAGGACGAUGGACCUGUCAAAGCGAGUGUCAAUGUGGACGGUGGAGGAAGUGUUGGAGUGGGUGCAGGAACAGUAUCCAGCCCACAUGAGCACGCUCCUAUAAAGCCAUCAUGAAACACGCCAUAUCAGGCCGUGCAUUGCUGAGAUUAAAGGAUCAUCACCUGGAGCUUCUCGGGGUGGAAGCUGAGGAGCAGCAGCAGGAAAUCUUGCAGGACCUCCUCCUCCUCAGAGUUCAGGAGGAAAUCAAUGAACUCAGUGACAUCUGUUCUGAGUGUUUCUCUUCAUAACAGAACAUAAAUCUUCAGUAGAAUUUUUUUUUUUACUUCCCUUCCAUCCAUUCAUCCAUGAGAAGAAGAGAGAGAAAUGUGGGAGUGAUAGAAAACGCUGAGGAGACGGUGAAGAGAAAGAAGGAUCACCGAGGAAUGAAGAGAGAGAAACCUGUUUCCUGUAUGAAAUCUAACCUGUGCAGAUGGAUGAGAUUAGUUUUUGUCUGUCUUUGUCUGAGCUGUUCUGUCCAUUAGUCUCUGUCAUUUUUCUCUCUACAGUUUUAAUUCCAGUGUAGUAUUAUGAAAUACUGAUGUGCUGAAUAUGGAAAGAUAGUCCAUUAGUAUCCCUUACAGUAAUUUAUUAUUAUGACUAACAGGUUCCACUGCACUGCUGUCAACAGAUAAUAACAUUUUUUAUCCAAAUAUCAUGAUUGACAAAUCUCAAAAUAUCAGGAAAAUUAAAUGUCAGUUAUGUCAUUUGAAGACACCUAUUAAUUAAAACCAGCUCCAACCUGACACUUCGGACACUUGAUAAAUAGUUAAAUAAAAUCAAAACAAAAUAAUCAUGAAACGUUUGUGGAAGUAGUAGAACAUGAGCAGUAAUUUAACUCUCAGGAAAACAGAGGGAUUACAGGAAGAUGCAGAAAGACGGAGAGAAAAUCCAGAAAUCUGAGUUGAAAAUUUUCCAUUAAAACUUUUCUUUGUGUCAGAUAAGAAAAGCUGAAUCCAAACACUAACUUUCUCCUAUGUUUGCUUUUCUCUCUCUCUCUCUCACACACACACACACACACGCGUGCUGAUGGAAAUUGAUUUCACAAUCCAGCUGCUGGUAUAAAUCUCCUGUUUUUAUUUGUCUUUGUAUUUUUGACUGAUAAACCAAAAACAAUGCACCAUUUUUUUAAAGUGAAUAUUGAACAGAGGCACAGGAAAUCCUGCAACGUUUUCUGGAUUUGAUUCUGUUUAGUUUUUUAAUAUCUUCUGGCUGUUUGUGAUAAUGUGAUUAAGGUGGAUCCUGGUAUUUUGCAAAGACUGAUAAUUUGUGAACGUCCUUAAUGCAAACAGUCCUGAAACUUUCAGAUACCAUUUUUAUAUAAUGGGUAUGUCUAUUUCUGAGCAUCAUGGCGCUGCUACAGUAUGGUCAGCUGAAUUAAAAGUGCUGCUUUGGCAACACAAUCCCGA